ACUUGAGCCACCUCCCCUGGAUCUGCUAUGGCUUAAGAGUUUUUGUCUUUAUUUUUAUUAUUUUGUGACUUAUCCUAGCAGUAGCCAGAGUGGGGCUGCUCUGUGGGGGUGUAAUGUAGUGGAGAGCUUCAGGUGGAGUGUUUGUCAGGUUCAACUCCAGCCAUGGUUUCCCGGUGGAGCUUGGGUUGGAUGCCAGCAUCCUCCAACUGAAGGAGGCAGUUGCGCAGCGACAGGGAGUUCCAGCUGACCAGCUGCGGGUGAUUUUUGCAGGGAGAGAGCUCAGCAACGACUUAACGCUGCAGGUUGUAUCUAAACAAGAAACUGCAAGAUCAAGAGGCUAUAGAACUCCAAGGUUUUCUGCAGGUAGUGGGAGGGUCUUCUGGGAUCAUCUCAUUUCAGACAGCUCUGUUCAUGGCAGGAAAACAGCCAGAGGACAAUUCCGUAAAUGCCACCCUUUAUCACUGCAGAGGUAAUAAAAACAGCAUCCCCAGAAGUGUUCAUUUCUGAUGGAAUUCAUUGCUGAUCUCAUCUAUUUAAGUGAAUGCAAAUGGAAGUUCGCUCUCCUGCUUCUCUGAAGGAUUGAUGCAUUGCUGACUGGUGAGCACUGCAUGAUGGGUUCAUACCUCAAGUAGCCACAGGAUUUAAUCUCCAUGUGUCUUUUAGUAUAUGUAUGCCAGUUGUAAAGUGGUCUAUGAAUUACUUAUCUCCUGACAUAAUUCAAAUCUCUCAGAAAAGCUAUUUUCCUAUUAAAAUGAAGUAUUGACUUUGUAGAUUCCUGUGGGCUAAUAAAAAAAAAAAAAUUGAAAAAAUUGCUACUGAUAAAUAAAUGGGAUAUAGAACUUGAGAGAACUUUUGGAUGGAAUAUAAAACUUAGUUUUCAUUUAUGGAAACUGUCAUGUGUUCUAUUGUUUCCAUGCAUUGGGAGAUAUGCUACCUCUACUGUAAGGUAUUUUUAGUGUGCUAUAUUGUGUUGUGUAUUUAUAGAUAAAGCUAAUCUUUCUAGCAGCAGAAAGCAGUAACAGCCCUGCAGGAUAUACACUAGCUCACAGUAAGGCCAGAAUCCACAGUUUUAAAGUUGUACUUUCUGUGUAACCUGGUGUAGGGAACCUGCUGCAUCAAAGCUUCACACCUGAUGAUCCCCGGAGGUCUCUUCCAGCCUCUAUGAUUCUGCAAUUCUGUGAUACUGUAUCAGGUACCAUCAGGCAACACUAGGUUUUCUAGUGAUAUUUACGUGAGAGAAGGCAUUGGAGUUUAAAAAAGAGAGGAUAUGAGGGAAGCAUCAACUUUCCUAGAAUGAGAAGGAGUACCUUUUAGGUUUGUCACUGGACACUUUGUGGGAGCUUAAUUCAGAUCUUUUUUAACAGUGGCAUUGGCAUGCUGGCAUUUCAAAAGAUGCUGUAUGGUAGCUGUUGAGUCACAGCCUGAACCACUGAUUGAGCACCUGGGGAAAGGCCCCUGGUCAGCCCUGGGAGCACAGGUAAAGGCAAUUCAGCUGCAUGACUGAAAGGGGUGGAGCCUGGCUGCACCUCUCAGACCUCAUUUAAGGGCUCAUUGCUAGUGGGGAAGGAUCUCUUUCUAGAGAUCCCUCCUUGGUGAAGCUUUCCCCUGUGAACUUGGAAUCUUCUGAUCCAGGUGAGCAAUCUUCUUCCCUUCCUUGAUAACUCCUUUCUAUUAUGCUGGUCCUUCUGUCAUCACACCUUUGUUGUAACGACCUUCCCAUUGUAUUGAUCAAUUGCUACAAAUGCCUAAUAAGAACGAUGCAUGAGGGCUUGGGGCUGAAGGAUUGUCGUGUCCUGUCUUCAGUAUACUAUAGAGAAGUGGCUGAAGUGUGUAUUUUGAUGUACCUGUGACUCAUUAAUCCUUACUGGACUGUAACUUUCUUAUUUCGAAGAAGACAACUUCUAUUUUAUUGACUAAAGCAUAGCUUAAAUGAAUGAUCUCUUUGGCUUUGCCAAACUGAUAAGUUGUCUGUGUUUGUCAAGGAAAGUUUGUGACAUGUAGUUAUAUUUUGGUAGAAGUUUCUUAUAAUAAUUAUGAACUCUUCUCACUGGUGUAUUUACUUUCAUGUGAUUUGAUAAUAUCAGUGUGUAUUAAUUCACUUCAGCUUUUCAUCCUGCUGGGUACGAGCUGCAAGCACUGCAAACUGCCAUUAUGAGUCUCCCAGUGAAGCUGCUUUCUUAUGCUUUUCUGUUGUUAUGCCUUUAUUACUAUUGUCAUUAAACAGGACUUAGAAUAGUAUUAUUGUGUGGGUUCUUUAUUGUGUUGUCAAGACGUAUUGAUUGUAUUAGAAAAAAGUACUCUUUCUGGUCACACUACUUAUUUAGUCCCUGUUCAGACAUUUUAUUUAUUUACUUAUUUUUGAUCAAUCCUGAAAGUGUUUGCUGUCAGGAUUUCACUCAGUACUGAGCUUAGGCUGAUAGUCAGAAGUCUCAGUGGCCAGCCUUUCAGGGACAUCCUACCUGGGGUUGAAUUAAUGUGAAUGAAUCUUGCAUUCUUUUUUUGUCAAGCUUCUCUUUAGAACUCUGGGCUACAACAUUUUGCUUUGUUCUAUGCUUUAACUCUUCUGCAAUUUAUUACACAAUAAUAAGGAGAAAAAUAAGCCAAGUGCUGCAUGUAUAACUAUGUCUAUAUUUUAAACAGAAUGUCCUGUGGAAGGACCGAAGUGCUGUGUUCUUCUCUCUUUUAUCUAGUAAUUUUCCUUUAUGGUUGAAUGGGAAAAGUUGUAUUUUACCAAGCAUUAUCUUGGGGAUAUAGUGACUAAAGCUUAAUCUCAGUUUAUUUUCAAGAAUUUGUUUUGAGGAAAAAAUAAAACAGGAAAGCAAAUGCAUGUAUUAGUGAUGAUGAUAUGCAUUAAGAUGCUUGUUUUAAGUGGUAACUGGUGUCAGAUAAUACGGCCAGAAGUUGACUCUUUCUAUGGCCUUUACUUUCAUAUUUCUGUCAGAGGUAAGUGGCAAAGUCCUCCUAUAACUCAGUUUUGAUUCAUCUGUAUGAUUAGGAUGUCUUUGAGGUUGAAAAUAAACAAAUUGCAAAGUUAAUGGAAUUUCAUGUGGAAUCAUAAAAUUACAGGUGUUGGAAGGGACUUCAAUAGAUCAAAUCCAACCCCUUGCUAAAGUAGAUUGCUAGACUAGUUUGCACAAGUAGACAUCCAGGCAGAUCUUGAAUGUCUCCAGAGGAGACUCCACAGACUCUCUGGGCAUCCUGUUCUAGUGUUCUAUCACCCUGUGUGUGUGGAAGUUCUUCCACAUUCAAGUAUGUAACUUUUUAUGUUCCAGGUUUUGGCCAUUGCUCCUUAUCCUAUUACUACACACCAUUGAAAAGAGUCUGGCCUAAUCCAAUUGCCUCUUGCACUUUAGAUAUUUAUAAACAUUGAACAGAUCCCUUCUCCAUCCUCUCCAGAUGGAGACACGGGUCUCUCAGCUUUACCUCAUAAGUGAGAUGCUCCUGGUGCUUUCUCUUUGUCACUCCCACUUUCUAUGCAUCAUUGCAAGGAUCUGGGAGACAGUGCCAAAUGCCUUGUUGAAAUCAAGGUACACAACAUCCAUUGCUUUCCCCAUGAUCUACCCAGCCAGUGAUGACAUUGUGGAAAGCUACCUUACUCAGUUUAGUGUAGAUAUAUCAGUCGCCACACCGAUGUUUUCAUUUCCAUCUCUAACAUCAUGCAGUAGAACCUGCUGGUUUCCUUCUGCAUCUCAGGACUGUCCUACUGAUGCUGACUGUGGAAUCUCAGGGUAGUUGUGUAAAAGAAUACAGAGCUAAUCUGUGCUCUGAAUUUGCAAAAUUUAACCAUCCCCUAAAUUAGCAGACUAUAUAAAUUAGAUACAAAGCGAGGAUGCAUAUAGAAAUAAGGUUUCUUCUGAGUAUCCACCUGAAGACAGGUAUGUAGGCCAGGACACAAUAGGCAGAUUGUUCUUGACAGUCAUAUUUUAACCUGAAUAAGGAAUGCACUCAUUUUCAUUCACUCUGCAGUGCAGUCUUAGAAUGCAUGAAAACAGAUUUUAUGGUUGAAAAAGGAGAUGUACCCUAACUGCUUGCUAGCAUUGAGUCUGUGGAAUCUGACUGAGGCUAGUCAGAAAACCUUUCUAAAGUGCCGAUUUUUAUGGAUGCUGCAUUCCUCACAAUCAGUUGUUUUGCUGUGCAGACUUGCUUGUGCUAGGCAGAGCUCUUUGCUGGCACAUACAUAACCAUUCCUUAGUGAGAACGACUCUUGUGAACUGUUGUGAAGAGGGACUGUUUUCUUUACCAUUUUCAAAACUGUUUUUCUCAAAAGUUUCCAGGCAAGUUCAA